AAGUACUUAGCUUAGUGGUUAAAGCAUUGGUCUCAUAAGCCAACUAUCGCCGGUUCAAAUCCUGCAGUACUUA
rnacentral:tRNA from 1 species